rnacentral:rRNA from 1 species
UACGUAGGCAGCAAGCGUUGUUCGGAGUUACUGGGCGUAAAGGGUGUGUAGGCGGUUCUUUUAAGUUUGGUGUGAAAUCUCCCGGCUCAACUGGGAGGGUGCGCCGAAUACUGAGGGACUAGAGUACGGGAGAGGAAAGUGGAAUUCCUGGUGUAGCGGUGAAAUGCGUAGAUAUCAGGAGGAACACCGGUGGUGUAGACGGCUUUCUGGACCGUAACUGACGCUGAGACACGAAAGCGUGGGGAGCAAACAGG